AGUGGGAAUCUUCCACAAUGGGCGCAAGCCUGAUGGAGCAACACCGCGUGAGUGAAGAAGGGUUUCGGCUCGUAAAGCUCUGUUGUUAAAGAAGAACACGUAUGAGAGUAACUGUUCAUACGUUGACGGUAUUUAACCAGAAAGUCACGGCUAACUACGUGCCAGCAGCCGCGGUAAUACGUAGGUGGCAAGCGUUAUCCGGAUUUAUUGGGCGUAAAGAGAGUGCAGGCGGUUUUCUAAGUCUGAUGUGAAAGCCUUCGGCUUAACCGGAGAAGUGCAUCGGAAACUGGAUAACUUGAGUGCAGAAGAGGGUAGUGGAACUCCAUGUGUAGCGGUGGAAUGCGUAGAUAUAUGGAAGAACACCAGUGGCGAAGGCGGCUACCUGGUCUGCAACUGACGCUGAGACUCGAAAGCAUGGGUAGCGAACAGGAUUAGAUACCCUGGUAGUCCAUGCCGUAAACGAUGAGUGCUAGGUGUUGGAGGGUUUCCGCCCUUCAGUGCCGGAGCUAACGCAUUAAGCACUCCGCCUGGAGACACGA
rnacentral:rRNA from 1 species